CUUCUUCAUCAGACUAUUGGCUCCGAUGCUAGCCUAUGGAGAAAACUAUGCAGCCCCUCCAUUUUUCCAACAAGAACCACAAAAACAGAUUUCACAUGACUUACCUUGGCCAUGCUCUUGUGCUGCUGCUCUUCUUGGCCUCUCCCACCAGUUCUUGCACCGAGCAAGAGAGGAACUCACUCAUCCAGUUUCUCACUGGGCUCUCGAAGGAUGGUGGCCUGGGCAUGUCAUGGAAGAAUGGCACGGACUGCUGCGCAUGGGAAGGGAUCACCUGCAACCCAAACAGGAUGGUUACUGAUGUGUUUCUGGCUUCUAGAGGCCUUGAAGGGGUCAUCUCACCUUCCCUUGGCAAUCUCACAGGUCUGAUGCGCCUCAACUUGUCCCACAACUUGCUGUCCGGUGGCUUACCGCUGGAACUGGUGUCAUCAAGCAGCAUCGUGGUCCUUGAUGUCAGUUUUAACUACAUGACAGGAGGCAUGAGUGACCUGCCAUCUUCAACCCCUGACCGGCCUCUGCAGGUACUGAACAUAUCAAGCAACUUGUUUACAGGAAUUUUUCCAUCAACCACAUGGCAGGUGAUGAAGAGUCUUGUCGCGAUCAAUGCCAGCACCAACAGCUUUACUGGGAAUAUACCAACUUCGUUCUGUGUCAGUGCACCAUCCUUUGCUUUGCUUGAACUUAGUAAUAACCAAUUCAGUGGAGGCAUCCCUCCAGGGCUUGGUAAUUGCUCCAAGUUGACAUUCCUCAGCACUGGCAGAAACAAUCUCAGUGGGACCCUUCCAUAUGAGCUCUUCAAUAUUACCUCUUUGAAGCACCUUUCUUUUCCUAACAAUCAGUUAGAAGGAUCAAUUGAGGGCAUCAUGAAGCUCAUAAAUCUGGUCACCCUUGAUCUCGGAGGAAAUAAGCUCAUUGGUAGCAUUCCAGAUUCCAUAGGACAGCUGAAAAGACUGGAGAAGCUCCAUCUGGACAACAACAACAUGUCCGGGGAGCUGCCAUGGACUUUGAGUGACUGCACAAACCUUGUAACCAUCGACCUCAAGAGCAACAGCUUCAGCGGGAAGCUCACCAAUGUCAACUUCUCCACACUGCCCAAUCUGAAAACUUUAGAUGUCGUUUGGAACAAUUUUUCUGGAACAGUUCCAGAAAGCAUCUACUCAUGCAGAAAUCUAACUGCAUUACGGCUGUCUUACAAUGGGUUCCAUGGCCAGUUGUCAGAGAGAAUAGGAAAUCUGCAGUACCUCUCUUUUCUAUCAAUUGUUAAUAUCUCUCUUACAAAUAUCACAAGGACAAUUCAGGUACUUCAGAGUUGCAGGAACCUCACCUCCUUACUCAUUGGUCGCAACUUCAAGCAAGAAACAAUGCCAGAGGGUGAUAUAAUUGAUGGUUUUGAGAAUCUUCAGGUCCUUUCCCUGGCCAAUUGUAUGUUGUCUGGAAGAAUACCUCAUUGGUUAUCAAAGCUCAAAAAUUUGGCGGUUUCUUGCACCGAGAAAGAGAGCAACUCCCUGAUCCAGUUUCUCGCUUGGCUUUCAAAGGAUGGUGGCCUGGGCAUGUCAUGGAAGAAUGGCACGGACUGCUGUGUAUGGGAAGGGAUCACCUGCAACCCAAAUAGGACAGUCAAUGAGGUGUUUCUGGCUACUAGAGGGCUUGAGGGGAUCAUCUCACCUUCCCUUGGCAACCUGAUAGGCUUGAUGCGCCUCAACUUGUCCCACAACUCACUGUCUGGUGGCUUACCACUGGAAUUGGUGUCAUCCAGCAGCAUCAUGAUCCUUGAUGUCAGUUUUAACUACCUGACAGGAGACUUAAGCGAUCUGCCAUCUUCGACCCAUGACCGGCCUCUGCAGGUACUAAACAUAUCAAGCAACUUGUUUACAGGAAAUUUUCCAUCAACAACAUGGGAGGUGAUGAAGAGUCUCGUAGCGCUCAACGCCAGCAAUAACAGCUUUACUGGGAAGAUACCAACUUCGUUCUGUGCCAGUGCACCAUCAUUUGCCUUGCUUGAUAUUAGUUAUAACCAAUUCAGUGGGGGCAUCCCUCCAGGGCUCAGUAAUUGUUCCACACUGACAUUGCUCAGCUCUGGCAAAAACAAUCUCACUGGGGCUAUUCCAUAUGAGAUCUUUGAUAUUACCUCUUUGAAGCACCUCUCUUUUCCUAACAAUCAGUUAGAAGGAUCAAUUGACGGCAUCACCAAGCUCAUAAAUUUGGUCACCCUUGAUCUUGGAGGAAAUAAGUUCAUUGGCAGCAUCCCACAUUCCAUAGGACAGCUCAAGAGACUGGAGGAGUUCCAUCUGGACAACAACAACAUGUCAGGGGAGCUGCCAUCAACGUUGAGUGACUGCACAAACCUUGUAACCAUUGACCUAAAAAAGAACAACUUCAGUGGGGAGCUCACCAAGGUUAACUUCUCCACACUACCCAAUCUAAAAACUUUAGAUGUCGUGUGGAAUAAAUUCAAUGGGACGAUCCCAGAAAGCAUUUACUCAUGUAGCAAUCUAACUGCAUUACGAUUAUCUUUCAACAACUUUCGUGGGCAGCUGUCAGAGAAAAUAGGUAAUCUGAAGUCCUUAUCAUUCCUGUCACUUGUUAAGAACUCUCUUGCAAAUAUAACCAGUACACUUCAGAUGCUUCAGAGCUCCAAAAACCUCACAACCUUGAUAAUCGCGAUCAACUUCAUGCACGAAACCAUACCUUUAGAUGAUAGCAUUGAUGGUUUUGAGAAUCUUCAGGUUCUUUCCCUGUAUGGUUGUUCAUUGUCUGGGAAAAUACCUCAUUGGUUAUCAAAGCUCACAAAUUUGGAGAUGUUAUUUUUACAUGACAACCAACUAACUGGACAAAUACCUAUCUGGAUCAGCAGCCUAAACUUCCUCUUCUAUCUAGACAUAACGAACAACAGCCUUUCAGGAGAAAUUCCAACAGCAUUAAUGGAGAUGCCAAUGCUAAAAACAGACAAUGUUGCACCAAAAGUCUUUGAGCUGCCAAUUUUUACAGCCCAAUCACUUCAGUACCGAAUAAACAGUGCUUUCCCCAAAGUGCUCAAUCUAGGCAUCAAUAACUUCGCUGGCGCAAUCCCUAAGGAGAUUGGUCAGUUGAAGGCACUUCUUUUACUCAAUUUGAGCUCCAAUAAAUUGUCUGGACAGAUACCAGAAUCAAUCUGCAAUCUCACAAAUCUUCAGAUGCUUGACUUGUCAAACAAUAAUCUCACUGGUACAAUCCCUGAAGCACUGAACAAAUUGCACUUCCUUUCAGCAUUUAAUGUUUCUAACAAUGACCUAGAAGGACCAGUUCCAACUGUAGGUCAGCUUAGCACAUUCCCAAGUUCUAUCUUUGAUGGCAAUCCAAAAUUAUGUGGUCCUAUGCUUGCAAACCAUUGCAGUUCAGCUCAAACAUCAUACAUCUCCAAAAAACGACACAUCAAGAAAGCCAUUCUUGCAGUUACAUUUGGUGUGUUCUUUGGAGGAAUUGCCAUCCUUGUCUUGCUAGCUCAUCUCCUUACCUUGUUGAGGAGCACAAGUUUCUUGAGCAAAAACAGGAGAUACAGCAAUGAUGGGACAGAAGCACCAUCGUCCAACCUCAAUUCAGAACAACCCUUGGUGAUGGUACCACAAGGAAAGGGGGAGCAAACCAAGCUCACAUUCACUGAUCUCCUGAAGGCUACAAAAAAUUUUGACAAGGAGAACAUCAUCGGUUGUGGAGGUUACGGACUUGUCUACAAAGGUGAGCUAUCUGAUGGCUCAAUGCUUGCCAUCAAGAAGCUCAAUAGUGACAUGUGUCUGAUGGAAAGGGAAUUCAGUGCAGAGGUUGAUGCACUCUCCAUGGCACAGCAUGAUAAUCUUGUGCCACUGUGGGGUUACUGCAUCCAGGGAAACUCAAGGUUCCUCAUAUAUUCCUACAUGGAGAAUGGUAGCCUGGACGAUUGGCUUCACAACAGGGACAACGAUGCCAGUUCAUUUCUUGAUUGGCCAAUGCGACUCAAGAUCGCACAAGGGGCAAGCCAGGGCCUUGCUUAUAUCCAUGAUGUUUGUAAGCCAAACAUAGUCCACCGUGACAUCAAGUCCAGCAACAUUCUACUUGACAAAGAAUUCAAAGCUUAUGUUGCAGAUUUUGGGUUAUCAAGAUUGAUCCUUCCCAACAAAACCCAUGUCACAACUGAACUAGUUGGCACUCUUGGUUACGUUCCCCCAGAGUAUGGGCAAGGGUGGAUGGCUACACUGAGAGGUGACAUGUACAGUUUUGGGGUUGUCCUGCUUGAACUACUCACCGGGAGGCGACCCAUUCCAGUCUUGUCUGCAUCAAAAGAACUCAUCGAGUGGGUCCAGGAGAUGAGAUCCAAAGGAAAGCAGAUUGAGGUCCUGGAUCCAACACUCCGAGGCACAGGACAUGAAGAGCAGAUGCUGAAGGUACUUGAAGUUGCAUGCCAGUGUGUCAACCACAAUCCUGGAAUGAGACCAACUAUACGAGAGGUAGUCUCCUGCCUAGACAUCAUAGGCACUGAGCUGCAAACAACAGAACUCAAUUAAAUCAGAAUAUGAUAGCACAUGAUGAUCAUGCACUUAAACUUUUGAAGUGCACAGAGAAGCUCAUAGUAGCAGAAGAAUUAAUAUUUGUGUACUUCCUUUUUGCACAGUCCUCCAUAGAUUACCAUUUUUUUACUGUUUUGUAUCCAAACCUAUUUUUUCGUUCA